rnacentral:rRNA from 1 species
CAGUAGCCGCGGGAAUACGGAGGGGGCUAGCGUUGUUCGGAACUACUGGGCGUUAAGCGCACGUAGGCGGCUUGGUAAGUUAGAGGUGAAAGCCCGGAGCUCAACUCCGGAAUUGCCUUUAAGACUGCCGAGCUAGUAGGUGAGAGAGGUAAGUGGAAUUCCGAGUGUAGAGGUGAAAUUCGUAGAUAUUCGGAAGAACACCAGUGGCGAAGGCGGCUUACUGGCUCAUUCUAGACGCUGAGGUGCGAAAGCGUGGGGAGCAAGCAGGAUUAGAUACCCGUGUAGUCCCUGUCUCUUAUAC